CCCGACCUACGAAAGCCAAUUUAAGUUCAAUCUCGUCCGAGUUGAUUUUGAUUUAAUUGCUCGGUAAUUAACGAGGUACAAGCUACUCGGAAAGGAGGGUGGAUUCGUUGACAUGGAUUGAGUUAGCGAGAGUACGUCGUCGUCAUUACAUCGAGUAUUGUUCGGCGAAUCGUGUUACGUAGCAGGCCAGGCGGAAACUGGAGCGCGAAUGAGAUUUAACCGAACGAAUAUUCGCGAGCGCGCGUUACAGCGCGAUACAAUUUUAUUCUGGAUUUUCGCCGCGUUAACGAGCCUCUUCUUUUUCGUUACGUAAAACGAGCAACGUUGUUACUUUCUCGGCGUAUUAUUCCUAGGCGUUACACGCUCGGCGAAGUCACACGAGAUCGGAGUCCCUCUCCGCUAAUAACUGUGACUUCCCCGCAACGAACAGAAAUCCUAGUAAUGUAUAUAUGUAUCGAUAAUGCGUCGUGGGAAGAGUUUUUACAGAAAAUUUCAAGCUCCAAGCGUUUUUACGCGUUUAUACGUCGCGUAUAGGGGAUCGAGAAAUCCAACAAGCAAACUCUAAAAAUGUUUGGUUUCAUGGUGUGUACCAUCGAAUAUAAUAUACCGGGUAUUGAUUGCAUAUUUGUGGUGUGGGACUGUCGCGCGUCUGGGAUACCUUACGGGGGUGGCGGUGAUUGACAUGGUUUAAGCGCUUUCCAUUGAUUUCCGUCUCCUCUAGAUUUUACUGCUGCCCAGGAGGAACAAUUAAAAUCACGGACAAAGCGUCUCCGUUCUUGAGGACGGAGAGCAAAACGGCCGGAAAAUUUGUGCACGGUCUGGAGAGAGGAAUUACAGUAAUUCCGUGUCAACGACGCGGCUCACCUUCGCGAAUAAUUGUCCCACAAAAAUGCUCGUUUCAGUCCGCGGUCGGAGAGCCGCGCGCGGUCCGUACUGGAAGCAAUCUUUGUUCGGAUCUCGCGGCCUUUUUCCGCAGUGCGCUGCGAAAUUAAUGGCCACACCUGGCGCUCCAUUGGCCUGCGCAAUCGUGGAAGAAGGAACGACGACGAAGCGGAGGAGUCGAGGCAAAUUCCACGAUGGACGACGAAAAAAACGAAAGAUAGAAAGGAGCCGGUUGGAGGGUGGGGCAGGCGGACGAAACAAGAAAAGAAAGACACUUUAUGCUCCCUAAUGACGCCGGGAAUCCGUCUUGUCUCGGACAUUGAAAAGAUUACGUGCAGUAUGAAGGGCCGUCGUAGGUUGUCGGCUGCAGCGGAACACGCGGAUGACACCAGAGCAUAUCAUUUCGGACGGACUGCGCUCUACACAGAAAGCGAGACCAACGAAGGCCAGAGACUUUCUAUGCAAGCCAAUUUACGUGCGACUAUUUACGACGCGAUUACCAUUUUGCCUCGGCAACGGGUGCACCUUGCGUUCGCAAUUAUCGGCAAAUUACAAAUUUCCUUAUCGGAUGAUAAUAAGCGGCGAGUGAGCAUAUUCCAAAGCGACGAAACGUUCGCGAGUCGCCGGCAGUGUGCCUUUUCCGCUCGCUCGUUCGUUUCGACUUCGAUCCUGAAAGACCAGUCCCCACCGGUCUGAUCGUCGAUCCGCUAGAUAAAGGAAAAGCAUCACAAAGAAGAGGAAUUCUCUACCCCUCGGGGAGGGGGGGGGGGGGGGGGGGGGGGACGAGGUG